AAUGCUGUGUAUUUUUUCUAGGAAUGCCAGGAGCUUUGGACGAGGGUAGUUGAUAGGGUUGAGGGUAAAAUCCUUGUGCCCAUCCAUGUGAUCAUCAUCAUUCCAGAUCACAUCCAGAGGGAUCUGAGCCUUUUUNNNNNNNNGACCACAUCUUCAACCACAGAGAGGUUAUGGUAGCCCCAUCUGCACUGGUGGAAUCCAAGAGCCCAGUAAGGCAUUGGAGCCGGUCUGCCAAUUAACGUCGUGUACUGGUCGACUACAGCCAAAGGAGAGGGCCCAGCAAAGAAGUAAAAGUCGAAAACACCCCCAAUAAUCUUGUAAGUGAGGGAAGUCCCUCUAUAGAACACAUCCAUGCCGUUACUGUUGAGAAGAAGAACCGAAUGAGCAGAGGGCUGCCCGUUCAC
rnacentral:misc_RNA from 1 species